rnacentral:lncRNA from 1 species
CGUCACUAUCACAAAUAAAAGCUGCAAACAACAAAGUUUUAAAGACUAGUAGACAGAAACUAUUGUAUAUGUAAUAUGUAAGUACAUUUGCAUUUUUAUCAAUUUAUCAAAUUAUAUUGUUUAUAGUACAUGUAGCUGUGUAUAAUGUGUUCCUGGUCCGUGUAUAUCUGCGUCCAUUCGUUUUUCGUUUUGAAAUAUCAAAAACAAAAAAACAAAACAGUGGCGUAGCUGGGUCAUUUUUACGUGUACGCCCGAACCUUGGCGAGGGAUAUGAGGGAUAUGAGGGGUUCCAACGCUCAAUGUUAUAGCACCUACUGGAAGUUGGUUCAAAAGGAAAAGCUAUCGAAAAUUUACUAUAAUGAUUCCUGUCAGUAAAAAAAUCAUUGAAAGCAACAUACUUUUGAAUCUAAAUGGUUUAUUUGUUUUGGUUAAAUUUUGUAAUAUGUUAACUUAUUCAUCGUGUUAAACUGGAAAUUAGCCUAAUGGACAUUGGUUUUAGAGAAAACGUCCAAACCAAUAUUACUUUUAAAUAAGUUUAAAGGGUGUCGUGAGUGAGCAUUUAAUCGACAAAAGCACCUUUUAAUGAACACGAAAAAAAAAGUAUUUCUAAGAGAAGCAAUAUAAAAAAAUUCGGGAACACCUAGGAUUUCUUCCCAAAAAAGUGAAUCAAUUUAUCAUUCCUUUAAAGGGAUUUAAAAAUAAGUCGAAAAUUUUCUUUUGAUAUUUUUUCUUGAACUGGAAUAUUUCACGACAAUCUAUGAAGAAUUUAUAAAUUGAGCAUGUAAAACAAUUAAUUGCAUAAAGAAGAUCAAAGAAGAGUCCGGCUAUCUGUCUUUCAGAAAAGAACAGAAAAAAUGAACGAAAACAAAUGAUUUCAAAAUUUUAGCUUUAGACAUUAGUCAUAGAAAAAGCUUCACCAGCAUUUUCAUAAAAUUCGAUGAAGGUUCGACAAGAAGUUAUAUAAUGUUGUUGAGAAAUAACAAAAUGUAAGCCCAAACUGCGACCAUUAUUAAUAGCAGAAAGAAAUACAUUUUGUCCUUAAAAUGCGGGAAAAUUUAAGAUAAUUGCAUUAUAUUGAUCUGAAUACUCUUUUGAUCAUAAACAGUUUCUGUCCAACUUUCGUAAAAUUUCACGAAGAGUCAUUCAAAAUAUAAAAAAGAAGAUGUGGUAUGAUUGCCAUUGAGACGACUAUCCACAACAGACCAAAAUGACACAAACAUUAACAACUAUAGGUCACCGUACGGCCUUUAACAAUGAGCAAAGCCCUUUCGCAUAGUUCAGCUAUAAAAGGCCCCGAUAAGACAAUGUAAAACAAUUCAAACGAGAAAACUAACUAAUUCAAAAGACUUUAUCCACAUAUAGAACCUGAAUAUUGACGCCGCUUUGUCUCGCAUUUAGGACAUAACUUACAGGCUCGACAAAAAAUACAAACAGCAUAUCAAAUCUGAGCAGAUAGUGAACUGCUUUAAAUAUAAGAAAAGUACGUAGACUUCAUAGAAGAUUCAGACUUUUACAAAAAGAUUCGAUUAAAUAUAUUAAAUGAUCUAUUUGAGUAAAUUUAGUCCAUUUUUAUUCAAAAUUACAAUCCAUUGAAAAAAGAAGCACAAGGCUGGUGUGCUUAUUCUAUGUCGAUUAUUUGUUUUAUUUUCAAAAUCCAAGUGUACGCCCGGGCGUUUUGACGUAAACGUAGCUACGCGCAUGCAAAAAACGAUAGUGUUUUCAUUUUUGGUUUUUGAUUUCUUAAAAACCAAAAUGAAAAACGAAAGUGUCUUCAUUUUUCGUUUUUGGUUUCUUGAAAACCAAAAUGAAAAACAAAUUGUUUUCGUUUUUCGUUUUUGAUUUCAUAUAACAAAAAACAAAACACAAAAGUAUUUUCAUUUUUCAUUUUUGGAUUUCUCAAAAACUAAAAUCGAAAAAUGAAAGUGUUUUUAUUUUUCCUUUUUGAUUUCACAAAAACAAAAAACGAAAAACGAAAAAUGAAAGUGUAUUCAAUUUAUUAUUCCCACACUGUUUUUUUUGUCAUUCAAAAGAUACCAAUGUUGUCAUUUGUCAUUCAUUUAAAGGUGCUUUAGAAUAGGGAAUGACACUUUAACAACGUUGUCGAUUUUGUUACAUACUUUAACAAAAAGGGUUAACAUAGAGUUUUGUAUAUAAUUUUAAUUAUUUCUCGGUUUAUAAUGUAAAAUGUUUCCUUAAUUGUUGUACAGUCAUUGAUGUAGACACAGUAGACCGCAUGACUUCUGAAUUGAACUACGGUGAUAAAGUAAUCAAAGACUUUCAAAUUACCUUGUUUAUAUCUUUGAUAAAGAAUAAAUUAUUAUAUUUAAAUAUUAAACGAAUCACAAAUUUAAAUUGUACAAUUUAAUAUUAUAUAAAAGUGGUACGAAUAAAUAGAUUGACGACACCAUCACACUAACAAGGGAGUUAACUACUUUUAAAACUGACACGAAAACUAGCCCGGUCGACCUUAAAGUAGACAUGAACAGCGGUUGUCAGAUCAAUAUUAUUUUUGUCUUACUUAUUUUAUUAUGUUCUGGUCUCGUAGCAAAAUAUAUAGAUACAGUGUGAGACUUUUAAUUUUUACAUGUAGGAACAAUAUCAAAAGACAUAUGUAGGAUGAAGAAAAAAAAUGUAAUCCACAUAGUCAAGUGUGUGGCUAUUGUUAGUUUAAACAUAUUUAUUAAUAGUGGAAAGGAAAUGUUCUCCCCGGAGCAGGGAUCGAACCAGGAACUUUUGUUUUUGUAGUCUGAUGCACUAACCUAUGUUAAUUUGUAUAAUUAAUAUCAAUGGUUCGGUUCCUCGUUGAAGAUCCUCCAGCUACAUUCAAGAUGAAGAACAGGAAUUAAAGCCCUGUUCAUUAUUUAUUUGUAUUUUUUCUGUAAAUUUUGUGUGAUUUUGUCCGUGUACACUUACUCCACAUCUCUUUGUUUUCUAUUUAGGACCUGGAUACGGCUCCAUGCUAGUUAAGCCCUCCAAUUUUAAAGGCCAUAUGUUUUUAAAAAAAAAUUUGAUGCCGCAGGAUUGAGAUUUUUAGCUUUUAUGUAACCCAUGUCAGCUUUUUAACUUGUAUUUACAGCAAAGAUAGCCAGUUUUGUGUUCUGUAAUAUAUUGUAACAGUUAAAUUUUUCAUGUCCGGUAGAAUCGUAACUUCUCAAAACAUCUUACGAACAAUAUCUGGACUUCUGUGCCGUGGGCAUGCACAAUUGCCAAGCAACACAUUCUCAAUUUUAUCGUCUUAGAUCUAUUCCAACUUAAGUCUUAUUGAGUGUACGACUAGCAGAACAUGAUAUUUUAUACCAUGGAAUACUGAAUCCAUAGUCAUAAAGAUCGAUUACUUGAUUGGUGUUCCGUUAACGUAGCUGCAGAACAAAGACGCUAGAGCUACUUUCGAAUAUUUCUAAAACUUCAAUCACAAACACAAAAAUAUUUUCAACAUUUAUUAAUUUGUUUUUACUUUUUUUUAUUUUUAUGUUGUUUUAAAAUAUCAAUUUGACUUGAAUUUCGGAUCCCGCUUACAUAUUUAACCCCGCCACAUUCUAAAUGUAUGUGCCUGUCCGAAGUCAAGAGCCUGUAGUGGUUGUCGUUUGUUUAUGUGUCACAGUUUUGUUUUUCAUUUAAUUUUUGUACAUACAUUAAGCCGUUAGUUUUUUUUUUUGAAUUGUUUUGCAUUGUCAUUUCGUGGCCUUUUAUAGCUGACUAUGCGUUGUGUGCUUUGCUUAUAGUUGAAGGCCGUACGGUGACUUAUAGUUGUUAAUUUCUGGUUUUUUUUUUGUUCUCAUUGACAAUCAUACCACAUCUUCUUUUUUAUAUCAAUAUGAGUUUAUUAAAUAUACAUGUAUAUACCAAGAUAAGUCAGUUUAUAUCUUGUUCCUCGUCUUACUUUACAAAAGGCUAGGAGAGCUACGUUGAUAUACCAUGUUGUCUGAUAGGCUGUCUAUAUAAAGUAAUGGGACAAUGUAUGGCAUGAAGACAUCACCAAAUCACCGUAUGUCAUAAUCAAAAAGACAUCCAGAGAUUAUCAUUAAUCAUCAACUACCCACCAUCAUGCCGUGAGCUCUGGUUUGCUCUUAACACAAAUACAAGAGCACAGCAAAAUGUCAAAAUAUUCUAUUCAAACUGGGUGACUUGGGAGAAAAACAUUGACACUUUCCAAAGAAAUACCCCAACCCCCCACCUCAAUUUUUUAAUAAGGAGAUAUGGUAUUAUUGCAAAUGAGUUAACUAUCCCAUAAAGUUCAAAUGUUGUGGAUGUAAGCAAUUAUAUAUAGGCAACCAUAUAACCUUCAACAAUGAGAAAAAAAACAUACGGUAUUAUCGGCUGAAAAAUAGUCCAUGAAAUGAAAAAUAUGAAACAGAAAAAUCACGGCCUAUUAUUAAACAACAUAAAUUACGAAAAACAAAUAUGAAAGACAUCAACAAACGACAACAACUGAACUACAUGCUCCUGGAUUGGAUCAGGCACAUGCAAUAUAUGGCGGGGUUAACCAUGUUUGUGAGCUCUCAAUACGAUAAAUUUUACACUUAAGAUUUUUUGUGAAAAGUGCUACUGACAUCGGAUUCGGAUUUAUCUUAAACUAAGUUUGUUUGUGCAUAUUGGUGUGUGCUUGUUUAUUCUACAUUAGCUAGCUAUAGUUGUAUAGUGGGAGGGGUGAGAUCUCACACAAGCCCGUUUAACCCCGUCGUAUUUUUGCGCCUGUCCCAAGUCAAGAGACUCCGGUCCUUGUUAGUUUUUUGUGUUGUUUUUUUUUAACUUAGUUAAGUGUAACGUCCAUUUUCUCAUAACUAGUAUAUAAUGUGUUAGAGACAAGCUGAAGCCCGCCUCUGGUUGAGGGAUUUUUCUCGUUGUGUUAAAGACCCAUUGGUGGCCUUCGGCUGUGCACUUUGGUUAGGCUUUCGUCUCUUUUACACGUGUUUUAUUUCCAUUCUCAAUUUUAUUGAUUGACCAAUUGAUUGAUUGAUUGAUUGAUUGAUUGAUCAUUUUACUUCAAGCAAAAGUCAUGAUUAUUUGAAAAUCCUUUAUGUGUAUUGUAGUGUUAAUUUCACCAAUGAAACUCUCCAUUAAUUUUUGUCUUGAUAUUAAAUUUCUUUGUAAUGACCGUCUGAUUAUAAUAAGACACUCAAGAAUAUACAAUAUGAAAACUUACUUUGCCUUCAAUGUCUCAACCUUUUUUAAUGUGAGUAACUUCAUUGUUCAGUUAGAUUUCGAUUUUGAUAUUGAUUUGCAAGCUUCCAUGAUAGAUUUCCGGUUUUUGUUCUGCAUAAAACCCUAUGGAAAAGCGCAUUGACUUAAAUUUCCAAACGUUAUUGGAACCCAAUAAUUUGGCAAGGGGUUGCAACCUAUAAUGUAAAGAAAUUACAGCCGAUUGCAUUGAAUGUGUAGGCAAAUGUAGCUGCCUUGGUUAUCUUGCUUGUUUCAUUAGGUUAGGUAAACUACCCUCCUUUAAGAGAAGACUAGUUUGACAGAUAACCAAUCAAUCUGUCUGUAGGACUAGGCUCCUUCUACAGGAGGAUAGUAUACCUUACCUAAUAAUGACUUCACGGUUCAGCUAACAAGCAAGCAAACCAAAGAGAUAACCUUUGUCUAUACACUCAAUGUAAUCGGCUGUAAUGAAAAUGUGGAGUUUGUGAGACCAGGCUCAAGCAGCCAGUCGGUAGCAGCCAGUUUUCAAAUAUUUAUAAAUGUUGCAAAAGACUAAAACGUACUUCAAAGUUGUUUUUAUUAAUAUUUAACCAAUAUAUGAUCAGCUUUUAAUAUAUAAUUAAUCAGUCAAAGACGCUAUUCAAUGAAUUUUAAUAUUUCAUUUCUGGUUCAUUAGCUAUUUACAGGCAAAAUCAAUCGUUUUCGAUUUACUACACAGCCUACUGCCCGCUUUACAUUUCAAAUAGUCAACACUUUUGAGUGUUUAUAGGAUCGUAAAUGAUUAUGAUUUUUUUAUAUUGCACUAAUGUGCGAAAUAGCUUUCCUUGUUAUCGGCAUCCUGUCAAAUAGUUCUCAUGAAAAGGAAUAAUAAUUCUGAAUUUAAAGAAACUUUUAACCUUUUUUUGCCACACAAAACUGUUUUACAAAAACAUUCUACCUCUGAACUAGUGGAUUUCGCUUGAAUAUGAUUGGACAAAAGGUUUAUUUUUUGUAUUCAAAGUAUGGUGGUCAAGAAAAUUGUGUAUUAGCUUAAAAACGAUUACUAGUAAUCUGUGCUAUGAAUUAACUUGCAAUUUUGAUCAAGUAGGCCCUUGAUCUCUAGCUUACGUUCUCACCUAGUGCAAUUAAAAAUAUUAAAAAAACUAAGAAGAACAACACCCAGGAUUUUUCUUGUAGACCUCAUAUACCCAGCUUCACUUUGCACCUAGUGGGGACAAUAUUUAUUACAUUUUUGGUAAGGGUGGGGUUGGGUGUUCGACCCCAACUUUGGACCUAUUUAAAAAAAAAAAAAAAAGCCAAACAGCAACCUUAUAUUUUUUUCUCCAGCAGUACAUCAGCUACCCAGUCCCCUUUACACAUUUUUCGACAAAAGUAUUGCCGUAGAAUUUGUUUUUUUUAAUUUUUAUGUAGUGAUGGGGUAGAGUGGUACCUGCAGGGGCCGUAUGCAUAAAACAUCUUAACUUAAGUAUUCCAUAAACUUAGAUUUCACUAAGAAUAUUCCUUAGUUACUAGUAAGUAAAAUUCUUAAGCGGUAUGCAUAAACUUACUUAAGUCUUCAUACUUAAAUCGGAACCUUUCUCUAAUUACCGUAUGAUAUAUACUAGUUCAUCACAUGUACUCAUCCGUGUAAAAGUUUGUUAUGAUUAUUUAAAUUUAUUGAUCAUUGCAUGCUUUUUUUUUUUUAAAGAGCUGGGGCUAAAUUGAUAUUGGUAUGUAUAAACAGUUCAAUAGAACGUAUAACCAUAGUAUACAUUGUCAUGAUGAACGAUUGGCGCAUGUAAGACAACGCUUUUUAGGGUUGAUGGAAGACAAAUAUUUCGGUUAUCCAAGACUUUCCUAUACUUAAUCUUUAAUCAUCUUGUAAUGGGUGUAAUAUUUUCUGGAUACAGUACAAUAUGUUUUAAAAUCUAACAAAACAUGACCAAUGGAGUAUACGUAGCACAAGACUAAGGUAGCAUUGUAAGCAAAUCAUUUUAAAAACAAAUCAUUUUACAAAACACUUUUUUCAAUAAAAUGUUUACUAAUAUUUCAGCUUAUUAUGCGCUGACAUCUUCCUCUCCAGACCUCUUUCUUACAUUUGCUUAUGGUUUAAAAAAAAAAUCUCUGGUGUGAAAUUAACAUUUUUAUCACUUCCCUUUUACAACAAAAAAAAAGGGGGGAAAGGUAGAAUUUUUUUCCAGGAAUCCAUAUACAAACUAGGGCUUUUUUCAAAAGUCCUACAAUCUUUACUAAAACAAAUUAUUACAAUAAGUAUAUCCUCAACAUCUUAACGUACUUAGAAAUAUUUUCGAAAUCGCAAUAUAUCUCGUUGAAUACAUAAGGAAAUAUAAAAAAAAAAAUUUGAUACGAGUAAGGUAUCAUAAAUACCUUAUAUGAUCUUAUAUAAAAUUCUCGAAUUUCAUGGGGUGUAGCAGUGGGGACUUCUGAUUGCCGUAACAGUGAUUCCAUAAACAAUCAACUUAUUUUUUCAACAAAAUGGAGGUCCAUGUCCACCCCCCUUUUUUAUGAAAGAAAUCAACCUCUCGGUAGGUCUUAAAACUUGUCGAUUUUGUUCCUUUUAUCGAAAAAAUAUUAGGGUAUGCCCUACAUCUUUAAAAUAAGACUAAAUUGAAAAUGAGAAUAGUGGGGAAAAAUGUAAAUAAUCGAGACAAUGGACCAAGAAAUAAAUAAAAUUGCUAGAAUAAUUAUGGUGUUAAAAUGUCAUGUAGUUUGUCUCUAGGAGAUUGGUAUUGGUUAUCAUACUGUUUCUCUUUAUUUCUAUGUCUAUUAAUUAUGCUUUCAUUAUCUGCCAACAUAUUACUUAUUUUGCGAACUAUAUAUAUUAUAGAUUUCCGGUAAUUGUUCUGCAUAAAACCACAUUGGAGUCCUUGUUUUUUUUCCCAAGUGGACCCGUAUGCAUAAAGCUACUUAAGUUACGAUUUUCCUUAGUAAACACUUAAGUUAUGGAAACUCCGCACUUUUGUCCUCGAUGCUCAUAAAAUACUGGCAGAUUGACCUUGGUCAUCAAUUCUAAUAAUAUUGUAUCAACCUUUCUAAACUUAAAAGUAAAGAUCACGCACCCAUAUUGUUCAGAUUGUUGAAGACUUUUGCAUCCGUUGAUAUCAUCUUCGAUUAAAGUAGUAUUGAUCCGGCAACCCGGCUAGUUUUCGUGUCAGUUUUUACAGCAGUUAUACCUCCCUUGUUAGUGUGAUAUUGUCAUCAAUCUAUUUACUUAUUCCAUCAUUAAUUAAUAUUUUAUUGUACAAUCUAAAUAUGUGAUUCGUUUAAUAUUUAAUUAUAAUAAUUUAUUCUUUAUCAAAGAUAUAAACAAGGUAAUUUGAAAGUCUUUGAUUACUUCACACCGUAGUUCAAUUCAGAAGUCAUGCGGUCUAUUUUGUCUACAUUAUGUUGAAAGAACACCGGGGUGUUUACAAUUUGGCUAUAUUUACUAUCAAUGACUGUACAACAAUUAAUUUAAGGAAACAUUUUACAUUAUAAACCGAGAAAUAAUUAAAAUUAUAUCCAAAACUCUAUGUUAACCCUUUUUGUUUAAGUAUGUAACAAAAUCGACAACAUUGUUAUAAUUUCAUUCUCUAUUCUGAAGCUGAUAAAUGAAAACAUUGUCAUAUUUUGAAUGACAAUUAAACAGUGUGGGAUAGAUAAAUUGAAUACACUUUCGUUUUUCGUUUUUUUGUUUUUGUGAAAUCAAAAAUGAAAAAUGAAAAUACUUUUGUUUUUCGUUUUUAAUUUUGUGAAAUCAAAAACGAAAAACGAAAACACUUUUGUUUUUCAUUUUGGUUUUUAAGAAAUCAAAAACGAAAAAUGAAAACACUUUCGUGUUUUGUUUUUUUGUUUUUGAUAUUUCAAAACGAAAAACGAAUGGACGCAGAUAUACACGGACCGUUCCUCGUGUAUUGUCUUGUUUUUGUGUCCUUCUUCAAUGUAUUCAGGUUAGAAGAGGGUUUGUCAUCUCUCAACAUAUUUACACCCCCUAAAUUGUGUAUGUACUGGUCCCGAGCUUGGGGACAUGAAUUCAGUGUUUUUUUUUGCUGUUUUUCGUGUUGUGUUCUUAUGUUGUUUGUGUUAUUGUUGUUGUACACGAUGUUGUUUGGUUUGUUUUGAUUGGUUUACAUUUCUUUAUGUUAGAGAUGUUUAUAACUAGUUUUGCGGUUUUGGUUUUGAUCAUUGUUUAAGAUUGUUCGGGGAUUCUGGAAGUUGAGUCUAGAUAUAGACAAAAAUUCGAAUCAGUCUUGGUUAACAGAACAGAGCAUUUCUUUAACAACUAUAUUUAAUUUUCUGACAAUAUUUCAAAUUUAGCGCAAAACUGUUUUAAUUGUUCUCUUCUUAUAUUUAAUGCGUUUUCCUCGGUUUUAGUUUGUUACCCCGAUUUUGUUUUUUGUCCAUGGAUUUAUGAGUUUUGAACAGCGGUAUACUACAUUUGCCUUUAUUCAAAACCAAAAAAUGGUAUUGUAUAAUAGCAUUUAUGACUGUGUGAAACAGCUCAACUCUUAAUAAUAGACAUGUUAUGUCAACACCAAAUCGAACACCAUGUGCUGAUUAAAAACACAUUUAUGUUAAAGUCAUAAGAAACGAGUGACCGGUGAAAAAUUAUGUUCUUCCAAUUCUUGCACCAAUGCAUACAAACAUCAUAAACGUAGUCUUCUGUGCACGAAUUUAUCAUUUUUUUCUUGUAAAUUUCGUAUAAUCGUCAAUUUUUUUUUCAAUCGGUCAGUGUUGUUGUGAAAAUAUGGCAGGUAAUUAAAGUUCGUGUUUUGAAGCCGAAGUUUAACGAUGGUCACCUGUUUGUCAACAAUCGACAAAAAAUAAACAAAAAAGCAUGGAAAGAGAGCACGUGUUUCACAUGUGAAUUCAGAUAAUAGUUUAUUUUAAGGACAUCCAUGCGUAUUGUAAUUACCGGAUUUUUACGAGAUGGGUCACACUGAGGUCACUUUGCAUACGGAAAAUAUGUCGGGGGAAUUGGUUGCUGGAAGCAAGCAAUUAAAAUAAAGUAAACUUCUUCUAAAUAUGAAUAAAUUAAAGAAUUUUCUUCAGAAAAAAGUAUAUGUACAUAAGUUUUAUAAUGAAAACUAUCCAUUGAGUUAUAAAAAACAUAUGCAUUAUUUUUUUUGAUUUGAGGUUUCUUAUGACUUUAAUUAAGGUUUGCAAUUGUCUACACAAGACGUCGUUAAUCUAAAAAAAAAAGCUUAAUUACAAUACAGAUAUAUAAAAAAAAAAUAUAUGUUUGUAGUCAGUACCAGAGAAUAAGAGAAGAAUGAAGAUUUAUGUUUGUUUAUGUGUAUGCCUAGUGUUACUGUUCGUUGAAGGUAAGAAAACAUCAUAACCCUGCUAAAUAUCUUCAAUAUUUACCUUUUUUUGUUGAUUCUUAUUUCGGUUACAUUUGUAUUACUUAUGGUGAUUUUACAUCAGUAUUACAUGGACCACAUUACGUUUCUUUAUAUAUUUCGGUAUGAGUAUUAUAUAAUGCAUAAAUUGCAUGGACAUAUACACGGUUUUUUUCUCGACCCGUAGGUUUUAGUAAAACCUUCGACACGCGUUUAUUCCAUUUUAGGAUUGAGAUAUCCAUCACAUGCUUCGACGAAGACAUAUAAAUAUGACAAGAUUUCUUUUAAAAUUUAAGCAGUUUUAUUUUCUAAAAAAGUAAUAGUCACAAAUAAAUGACUGCUGUCUUUAAAUGUUAGCAUAUCUUAAUCAGGCUGCCAAAAAAAUGUUACAAAAUGUAGAAUUCAUUGUACUUGUUAUUACUUGCAUUACGUGACUUUUCAGUGAGCAAUACCUAGGAAGAACGAAUACUGUGGAUUCAUUUGUUUUCGUGGAUACCAAUUUUCGUGGAUUGAGAAGAAUUCGAAAUGAAAAACACCGAUUCAACAUUAUAUCAAGUCAGUACUGUUCGGGCAAUUAUCUUGCAUUCAAUUCUUUAUUUUCGGUACCUUUUAAAAGAGUUCAGUAUGUCGUUGAUGUGUACAAGUGCAAAUUAAAAAAAAAUACAUUCUGAACAUUAAUUGAAUAAAUCAGAGGAUCAUAGUUGAACGCAAGCGAAUUGUGUGAACAGUAUCGAACUGUCCGCAUUGGUUGAAACACAGCUCAUUUUGCAUAGGUACUAUUUCUGUACCAAAAAUCUGCAGUACUUGAAAUCUACUUUUAAUAUUCAGUACUAUUUUGUUACCUUAAAGUUAUUGUAAUAUUUAUGUACCUGUAUUUUACAGUGGGUUUUGUCUCAGCACUAGUUACAUCAGCCCGAACACCAUCAUGGCCAACUGCAGGGCCAACACCAGUGGGUUAUUACCCAGAACUAACUUCACCAGAGACAACUCCACCAGGGCCAACUGCAGGGCAAACUGCAGGGCCAACACCAGUGGGUUUUGUCUCAGAACUAGUUACCACAGGACCAACUUCACAAUGGUAAACUGUAGGGCCAACUGUACCAGUGCCUGUUUGACCAGAACUAGAUUCACCAGGGUCAACUUCACAAUGAUCAACUUAAGGGCCAACUGUUACAGAGCCAUUUAAUCAAAUUUCAGGCGACAAGCUGAAGAACUUUUUUUACUUGAU